GCAAGUCAGGUAUCACGCGUCGGAAACGCUCACACUUGACUGGCGAUCGACGGUCGGUCUGCACUGCAGAGGCGAUUCGCCCUGGCAAGCCCCAGCAUGUCUCGGGGGGACCUAUGUCUGUCUUCCUUAAUAUGCACAGGAUGUCACACAUUGUAUUCUGCGCUCGGCGCGCCAUCGCCAUGCGGACGGGGGCAUUGUGGGGGGGUUGCUAUUGGUAACAUCAUGACUUUGCCUCCGUUUCUCUAUCUGCAUCGCUUCCGUGGUGCCAAGUCCCCUAGAGUCGCGCAGUGGUUUGACCACGGUAGCGUCUCC
rnacentral:lncRNA from 1 species